rnacentral:lncRNA from 1 species
UCCAACCAUUAUAUAUAUACUUCAAAAUUGCACAAAAGUACCAUUGACAAUCUAAACUCUUUUUGCUUGAAAGAAAGAAGAACAACCAGGAAGAUGGCAAAAUUCUCACUUCUCCAUCUCUUCACUCUUGCACUGUUUUUCUCUGGUAUAUGUUUCAUUCAUCAAUAUAUUUGUGUUUUGAGUUACUCCAAUCCGGUGGUAAAUUUAUAUGUCUGGUGAUCUGGGGUCUCGGAUUCGAAUUUAAAAUACCCUACAACAAUUUAGUGUUUAUUUUAUAAUCUUUAUAUUUUGGAGAAUUUGGUCUAUUUCGAUAAAAAAAAAUAUUCAUGUUUUUCUUCCUCGAAUAAAGAUUAACCUUUUGUAUUUUUAUAUGGUUUGAUCGCCGGGUGCAGGAAUGGUAUUUGUUAAGGAAGUUGAAGGAAAGGAUUGCGUAAAGUUUAUGUAUCUAACGGGAUGCAUGGAGCCGAAGUGCCAAACAUUAUGUACGCAGUGGUUCCCUAAUAGUAUAGCCGAAUGCAUCCUCGUGAAGAAAUCCGGCGAUUCUGCUUGUGGAUGUCAUACCAAUUAUUGUUAAUCAGUCUCUCUACCCAACACUCCAUUUCGAUUUCGUGUAUGAUUCGAUCAAUGGCUAAUAAAAAAAAAUAGUAUGCGGUUUCUCAUACAUGUCUGUUCAUC